GCGGACGUGGCGAAAUCGGUAGACGCAAGGCACUUAAAAUGCCUCGCCUUCUGGGCGUGCGGGUUCGAGUCCCGCCGUCCGCA
rnacentral:tRNA from 1 species